CAUGCAGAAUUUCUAUGUUCAUAGAUACAUGAUAGCAAUGAUUUAUUGGCCUGCAGUUAUAUUACUGCAGUCACUGGUGUAUGACGGGGUCUGAAGCGAUUCCCUCCUCCACGUAUCAUUGUAUUCGUACUUAUUUACUCAGAUUGUUCGUUGAUUUGCUAAUGAAAUGACGCCUUUACAAUUUCAGGUAUGCUCGAACAUUUGCAUUUUUCUACACGAUCGGUUUACAUAUCCUGGUCUUUACUUGCCUAUACCGAAUGUCGGCUCUAAGCUACCUCAGCCAUGGCUCUGAAGAACCCCUCGUGGUCGA